AUGAUGCAAGAGCAAUAUCAGAUGUCCAUGAUGGGUGAGCUGAAAUUCUUCCUAGGUCUUCAAAUCCGUCAGCAAAGCAAUGGCAUCUUCAUAUCACAAGAAAAGUACCUCAAAGAUUGCCUGAAGAAGUUUGGAAUGCAAGACUGCAAAGGAUACACGACGCCAAUGCCAACCAAAAGUCAUUUGGGUCCCGAUGACAAUGGUAAAGAGUUCAAUCAAAAGGUAUACUGCUCCAUGAUUGGUUCUUUACACUAUUUGUGUGCAUCUAGGCCAGAUAAAAUGCUUAGCGUUUGCAUGUGUGCCCGAUUCCAAGCAUCACCAAAGGACUCGCAUCACUUAGUUGUGAAGCAAAUUCUUUGA
rnacentral:rRNA from 1 species